CCGGGGCAGGCGAGGCUCCGAGGACAGCAGGCAGCUGGCCGUAGGUGGAGCCUGGGCCCGCAGGGAGCCCACGGCCACCUCAUACUCCAAGCCACGCCCUGCGCCCCCGUUGGCUCUUCCCCAAAGCCGUCCACCCAUUCUGCUCCUGCACCCACGCAGCUGCAUGUGGCUGAGGACAAGGUACAUCAGAUGACUGGCCUCACUCCAAGGUGACCCCGCAAACCUGGAAUGGGCCCCUGUGCUUCCAGCAACCCAACCAGGCUUCAUCGGCCCGUUAACUCUCCCACCCCCAUCUCUCUUCUCCUCCAGUCAUCACCAAGACCCCCUCCUGCCCCGUGGCUAUUGGCUGUGAUUGGUUCUUAUCUCACUGAGAAAAGAGAAUCAGACGAAUAUGCCGCAUUCUCACCAUGCCAAAUCUUCCACCAGCCAGCAUCACUCAGAUUGGCCUUGAACUCCUGGGCUCAAGUAAUUCUCCUGACUCAGCCUCACGAUGUGCUGGGAUUAUAGGUGCACAAUAACCCCACGAUGUGCACCGCAGCCCACAGCACACUUUUGACGCUGAAUACAACCUUAGUUUGGUGCAAACAAGGGAGAAGUGGGAAGAAACAAGGAAAACAAG
rnacentral:lncRNA from 1 species